rnacentral:rRNA from 1 species
UACAGAGGGUGCAAGCGUUAAUCGGAAUUACUGGGCGUAAAGCGUGCGCAGGCGGCUUUGCAAGACAGAUGUGAAAUCCCCGGGCUCAACCUGGGAACUGCAUUUGUGACUGCAAGGCUAGAGUACGGCAGAGGGGGAUGGAAUUCCGCGUGUAGCAGUGAAAUGCGUAGAUAUGCGGAGGAACACCAAUGGCGAAGGCAAUCCCCUGGACCUGUACUGACGCUCAUGCACGAAAGCGUGGGGAGCAAACAGG